AUCUUUCUAGUAUUAAAGACAGUAUAUGUGACUUCCAAUCACUCGGUCCCGGUUUGAGCCCGGGGAAAGAUA
rnacentral:tRNA from 1 species